UACGUAGGGGGCGAGCGUUGUCCGGAUUUAUUGGGCGUAAAGAGCGUGUAGGCGGUUCGGUAAGUCUGUCGUGAAAUCCUGAGGCUCAACCUCGGGCGUGCGAUGGAUACUGCCGGGCUAGAGGAUGGUAGAGGCGAGUGGAAUUCCCGGUGUAGCGGUGAAAUGCGCAGAUAUCGGGAGGAACACCAGUGGCGAAGGCGGCUCGCUGGGCCAUUCCUGACGCUGAGACGCGAAAGCGUGGGGAGCGAACAGG
rnacentral:rRNA from 1 species